UACAGAGGUCCCAAGCGUUGUUCGGAUUCACUGGGCGUAAAGGGUGCGUAGGCGGCAUGGCAAGUCGGAUGUGAAAUCCCGGGGCUCAACCCCGGAACUGCAUUCGAUACUGCUGCGCUAGAGUACUGGAGAGGAGAUUGGAAUUUACGGUGUAGCAGUGAAAUGCGUAGAUAUCGUAAGGAAGACCAGUGGCGAAGGCGGAUCUCUGGACAGUUACUGACGCUGAGGCACGAAGGCCAGGGGAGCAAACGGG
rnacentral:rRNA from 1 species